GGCGUUAAGUUGCAGGGUAUAGACCCGAAACCCGGUGAUCUAGCCAUGGGCAGGUUGAAGGUUGGGUAACACUAACUGGAGGACCGAACCGACUAAUGUUGAAAAAUUAGCGGAUGACCUGUGGCUGGGGGUGAAAGGCCAAUCAAACCGGGAGAUAGCUGGUUCUCCCCGAAAGCUAUUUAGGUAGCGCCUCGUGAAUUCAUCUCCGGGGGUAGAGCACUGUUUCGGCUAGGGGGCCAUCCCGGCUUACCAACCCGAUGCAAACUGCGAAUACCGGAGAAUGUUAUCACGGGAGACACACGGCGGGUGCUAACGUCCGUCGUGAAGAGGGAAACAACCCAGACCGCCAGCUAAGGUCCCAAAGUCAUGGUUAAGUGGGAAACGAUGUGGGAAGGCCCAGACAGCCAGGAUGUUGGCUUAGAAGCAGCCAUCAUUUAAAGAAAGCGUAAUAGCUCACUGGUCGAGUCGGCCUGCGCGGAAGAUGUAACGGGGCUAAACCAUGCACCGAAGCUGCGGCAGCGAACGUAUCACCCAAGACAACUUUACGGAGUUGACGAUUGACGGAGCGAAGCGACGUCAAAGCGUUCAUUAAAGUCGAGUUGGCUUAGGGAUACGUUCGUUGGGUAGGGGAGCGUUCUGUAAGCCUGUGAAGGUGUGUCGUGAGGCAUGCUGGAGGUAUCAGAAGUGCGAAUGCUGACAUAAGUAACGAUAAAGCGGGUGAAAAGCCCGCUCGCCGGAAGACCAAGGGUUCCUGUCCAACGUUAAUCGGGGCAGGGUGAGUCGACCCCUAAGGCGAGGCCGAAAGGCGUAGUCGAUGGGAAACGGGUUAAUAUUCCCGUACUUGGUGUUACUGCGAAGGGGGGACGGAGAAGGCUAUGUUGGCCGGGCGACGGUUGUCCCGGUUUAAGCGUGUAGGUGUGUGUUCCAGGUAAAUCCGGUU
rnacentral:rRNA from 1 species